rnacentral:rRNA from 1 species
UAGGGAAUCUUCCGCAAUGGGCGAAAGCUUGACGGAGCAACGCCGCGUGAGUGAUGAAGGUCUUCGGAUCGUAAAACUCUGUUAUUAGGGAAGAACAAAUGUGUAAGUAACUAUGCACGUCUUGACGGUACCUAAUCAGAAAGCCACGGCUAACUACGUGCCAGCAGCCGCGGUAAUACGUAGGUGGCAAGCGUUAUCCGGAAUUAUUGGGGGUAAAGCGCGCGUAGGCGGUUUUUUAAGUCUGAUGUGAAAGCCCACGGCUCAACCGUGGAGGGUCAUUGGAAACUGGAAAACUUGAGUGCAGAAGAGGAAAGUGGAAUUCCAUGUGUAGCAGUGAAAUGCGCAGAGAUAUGGAGGAACACCAGUGGCGAAGGCGACUUUCUGGUCUGUAACUGACGCUGAUGUGCGAAAGCGUGGGGAUCAAACAGG